AGAUGGCUGCUGUAAGGACUAGGAGGAGUCAGUGCUUACAAGAGCUGCCUAUGGCAAGCCUUGAGGAGCCUCUGCAGGAGCAGUCAGAGGAUUUACCUCUUCCAUGGUUAUGGGAAUAGACCACUCAUGGUGUACUCUACAAGUGUUAUGAAAAUGAUUGCUGUCAUCUUCGUGUGGUUUCCCCUCCACCUUGGAUCUAGUCAACAGAAGUUUCCAGAGAGGACAUCCUGCUGCCAGCAAACCAAACUGGAUAAUGAUGGGAAAGCUGAUGGAGUUUGUAAGUUUCCAGUGACAGAGAAGUGGACAGACUGGGUGUAUCACUAGUACAAAAGUAGUGGAGCGGGCUGAGACAAGAAAUGGGCUUAGGCACCUCCCUCCCCACUGUUAGAUCCCUUUCUCAGCUGCAGCUUGCCCAGAAAGCAAUACAUUAGUACCUUGGUACCCCUGCAACUUAUCAGGCCAGAUCUGGACAGCAUUGACCUGCUUUAGAUAGAGAGCAGAUAGGCCAGGUUUUUAUAUAGCUGAGCCUAACCCCUCCUGAAUUUUGGCCAAAAUGUCACUGAAAUGGAAGGCCAGGUCAGGAAACAGCAUGGAAAGCAGAGUUCAGGUGAUACAUUACUAUUUAUAUACAAAACUCUGGUUUCACAAUCUUUGCUAGGCUGGGCCCUGUAACGUCAAGUUCAACUGCCUUCCUGCUUUUAAAAAAUUUUUUACAAUUCCCUGGCAGCUACAUCUGCCAGGAUUGCAGGAGGGCUCAGCUCCCUUUUUAGCUAGAGAGACAAAUCAGUGCCCAGAGGAGAUGCUGCAGGAGGCCCACAAAAACCCAUCCUACCCUGUGGCCAGGCUUCCAUUCCUCACAAGCAACAGCGCAAAGUGCCAAAUGGUUAUUUGUGGUGCCUUCACAAUUCCCCACUAGGACAGUGCUUUUUAGUGUCUUUACCCCUGUUGCUGGAGAAGUCCCUUGAAGCACCUAUGGAUGCCACGCAGAGGGGAGCCUCUCCUGUGGCACUGCAGCAGGGACAAUGUUUAAGAUUCCUCGUGCUCUGUGUCUGGAUCUGCAUGAUUCCAGCUGCAGGGGCUUCCCUCCUAGGCCAAUCCAGCUUUCUCUGUGCACUGCCUGGGAAGAUGGAGAGCGUGGCAAUUGUUCCUGAGAGUGGGCACCUAAAACUCCACAGCCAGGUCCUCCUCUGGCCCUGAUAGUUAGGAAUCAAACUCCCCCUUGGGAACAAAAAAAACCCCAAACACCUAAAGUUUAAUGUGAUAAAAUGCUUCAUACUUUCCAGUAACUAAAUGAGUAGGAAAUGGAAGAAUUUCCAUUCUGGAAAGCUGAGGAAUUGUUAUUAGUAAAUGCAAGUAAUGCAGCAGAGUUUAAA